AUUGAACGCUGGCGGCAGGCCUAACACAUGCAAGUCGAACGAGUGGCGGACGGGUGAGUAAUGUCUGGGAAACUGCCUGACGGAGGGGGAUAACUACUGGAAACGGUAGCUAAUACCGCAUACCAUCGGAUGUGCCCAGAUGGGAUUAGCUAGUAGGUGGGGUAAAGGUUCACCUAGGCGACCAUCCCUAGCUGGUCUGAGAGGAUGACCAGACACGCUGGAACUGAGGCACGGUCCAGACUCCUACGGGAGGCAGCAGUGGGGAAUAUUGCACAAUGGGCGCAAGCAUGAUGCAGCCAUGCCGCGUGUAUGAAGAAGGCCUUCGGGUUGUAAAGUGCUUUCAGCAGGGAGGCGUUACCCGCAGAAGAAGCACCGGCUAGAUCCGUGCCAGCAGCCGCGGUAAUAC
rnacentral:rRNA from 1 species